rnacentral:rRNA from 1 species
GAUGAACGCUGGCGGCGUGCCUAAUACAUGCAAGUCGAGCGAACGGACGAGAAGCUUGCUUCUCUGAUGUUAGCGGCGGACGGGUGAGUAACACGUGGAUAACCUACCUAUAAGACUGGGAUAACUUCGGGAAACCGGAGCUAAUACCGGAUAAUAUUUUGAACCGCAUGGUUCAAAAGUGAAAGACGGCCUUGCUGUCACUUAUAGAUGGAUCCGCGCUGCAUUAGCUAGUUGGUAAGGUAACGGCUUACCAAGGCAACGAUGCAUAGCCGACCUGAGAGGGUGAUCGGCCACACUGGAACUGAGACACGGUCCAGACUCCUACGGGAGGCAGCAGUAGGGACUCUUCCGCAAUGGGCGAAAGCCUGACGGAGCAACGCCGCGUGAGUGAUGAAGGUCUUCGGAUCGUAAAACUCUGUUAUUAGGGAAGAACAUAUGUGUAAGUAACUGUGCACAUCUUGACGGUACCUAAUCAGAAAGCCACGGCUAACUACGUG